rnacentral:lncRNA from 1 species
GUCACUUUUAUUACAGAAGAAUGCCUCCUAUUGGCUGAGGGCAUGAAGUUAGAUAUGCAUUAGGGACGAAUCAGGAGAGAGAACAGAAAGCCAGACAUGGAAACAGAUGACUGCAGCUCUUAGAGCUCUCCAUCCCACCUGAUGAUUCAUCUCUCCCUCUGCCUUCCCUGUUCGUUUGAAACAUGCAGUGGAAUUGAACGGGAAGACAGUAUCAAAUACUAAUUAAUCAUGAUUCUGCAUCUAUAUAGCAGUAGACAACACUGACUGAUGUUGUCCUUUGGCUGAGCAAAUUUCCUGCUGCUUGGAGAUCUCAUUCAGAAAUGCUGAUUCAUUUCUCCCUGCCAACUAAAGUGUGCUGCUGCAGAAACCGCGGAUAGAAUGGAUGAUAAGAAAAAUAUACUGUAUCCUAGACCCUGAAUACAAUAAACAAAAGAGAAAGGCAUCCUAGGAGCUGACUGUGAUUCUGGGCUGCCAAUUACAGCUGGCUUCUAAUAUUGACUGAAGUCAUGUCAUAUAACCCAAAUGUCCUUAUUGGGGAAAUCUGGCAGUUGAAACACACAGAUUCCAAGAUUAUUAAGUAAGAAUUCUCAGUGAAUGGGAGCAGCAACAUGAAUAAUAAAAUGGGCUUCCAUAUGAUUUUGAAGAAAAAAGUGUUUGAUAUGAAAGUUGGAGAAUUAUUGAGGACAAACAUCACAGAGAAAUUUCAUGCAUAUGCCUGAACAUUCGUCAAUAAAGCUUAACAUGUCCUGCAGCAGAAAUCAUGAAAUACAAUGGAUGAGGAGAAAGUUACAAUUAAUCCUAAGAACUGAAUACAAGAAACAAAAGAGAAAAGCAUCCUUGGUGCAGCACACCAGAUUUAGGUUGUUUCCGAAUUUCAAGUUCUACCAGAAAUGGAAGCAUAUCAGACAGGACAACAUGGAGCCUGGUGACCUCUAAGAUGAUGUUUCCAACUGCCGUUGUGAUCACAGGUUAAAGACCCUGGAGCAGAGAGCCCAGAAGCAGCACCAUUGAUGUCUGGCUCAUUCUCUCUUUGGGAAGCCAAAUAGCAUAGCUCCUGCGGUGCUUCUUGCAAAUGGUACACACAGCUCUGUGACUGGUGGCAUGUUCGUUAUCAUUCAUUUGAGAACUUUGUUGGGACAAGACACACAGUGGUUGCCUUAUGCCCUAUCCCAAAGCAUAUGAGAGACUCUUAAGACCCCUAUGGAAGGCCUCACCCUCCCUUGGGAACAGAAAGGGUAUGUGAUAGACAGGAUUUUUGUUGGNNNNNNNNNNNNNNNNNNNNNNNNNNNNNNNNNNNNNNNNNNNNNNNNNNNNNNNNNNNNNNNNNNNNNNNNNNNNNNNNNNNNNNNNNNNNNNNNNNAAGGGGAGGAGUGGAGGGAGAGGGAACUGGUAUUGACAUGAAAAACAAUCUUGUUCUUAAUUUUUAAAAAAAAAAGAAAAGGAAAGGAAAGAAAUUCAUGGUGUCUAGGAUGGUUAAAUAAUUACUCUCAAUAACUUAGCCUUUUACACUGUACCUUCCAGGCCACAUUUGAUCAGCACAAGUGUGAUUUUUCCAAGUAUUGAGUUAAAAAUAAAUCUUCCUUGCACAUAAUUCAUUAUGCAAAACUGAGCCAGUAAUCAAGAUAUUAAAACUGAAACUGUCGAUUCAGAGACAGGGGCACAUUUUCUACCGAGCAAACAGGAGCAGUUACUCAUGGAAAGAUUGUGGGAAUGCUCACCAGUUACCAAACCUAUCCUAAGAUUUAAUUGACUCUGUCUCCUACAGGUCUCCAGGACAGUUUCCCUUCUCUGGGGUUAUUUACUGCCUGGCUUUUAUGCUGUAUUUUAGCAAGGAAACUGACUGGAAAAAUCCUUAAGUAUCCUCAUUUUUAUUAGAUUUAAUACCUCGUAUUGAAAGUGGACAUGCAUUUAGAGAUGUAUUAAGAAUAAAUCAGGAUAGUGAUCUCAAACCCAGACAUGGAAACAAUUGACUACAAUUCUUGGAGAUCUCCAACAGAAGUGAUGAUUCAGCUAUCUCUCCCUCCUCACUGUAAGUGUGAAUGAAGCAGGGGAAGUGGGUUGGGAAGACAGGAUGAAAUAUACUUGACCCAUGACUCUGAUGCUAUUUAGCAGUAGACAGCAUUCCCUAAUUUUUCCUGGUGGAUGAGCAAAUUUCUAGCUGGUUUUGCCGAUAAUAAAGCUAUAUGCCAGAAAGUGUCCAUUCCUGUCAGGGUUGUCAUGUUAGUAACACUGUGCUGCCUAGUGGUUUGGAUGCAUACUCAUUGUGAACACUUGUUUUAAAUAUUCUAUUUGUAUUGUGAGGUAAUUUAAUUAUGUCUAGAGUAUAUUUUACAUAACUUACAUGAAAUAUAAUAUUGCAUAACCAUCAUUUAUGAAUAUAAUUUGUGUAUGAGGGUUAUAAUGCUGUAUUAAUCAUGUGUUUACCUGUAUAUAUGUGUGUUUUUGUGUGUAUGUGUUUGUGUGUGUGUAUACUUCCCAUAGUGCUAAAUAAAAUACUCUUUGAUUGAAGAAAAAAGCUUAUUUCAAUCUGUCUGCCAAAAUGAACUUAAUAGAACUUAGUAUCUUACAUUUCUUUAAUAAAAAAGAAUUAAGUUAAUAUUCACUUAUUUCAGAAAGGAGAAUUUUAUAUAUGAUUUGCCCUCAAGAAUUAAUUUUUUAUAUUGUAUAACCUAAUAGGGUUUGAUCAGUUGCAUUUGCAAGUUUUCAUCACAUUUUCGUUUCUCUUAUUCCCUUCAGAUUCAUAAAAAGUUAUUAAUAUUACUACAUGAGAAUUUAUUUUUGAUGAAUCCACACAUUUCCCCCCAAAAAGAAUUGCACUCCAAAUUCCACAAUGAGAUUUGCAUCAGAAUCUUAUGGAAUUAUGUUUUCUGUGAUACAAUUUUAAUAUAUUAAAUGCAGUUGUAUGUGCAUCCAUACACAUCAAGGUAUUGACAUUGAAUAUUCCCAAAUGGCAAAAAAUUCUGAAUAAAAGUCAAAACUAUACUCCUACUUACUUCAUUAUAUCAAAAUCACUGCAAAUAUUUUUAGGCUUCAUGAUUUCUGAUCCUAAUUCUAAGGGCUUUAUUAGGGCUAGAUAUAGUUCAAGAAUUUUGCAUAUUUUUCCUCUCGUGGAAAUUACUGAGUAAAAGUGUGUUUCCAUAUAAAUAAGAUACUGGAAUUUCAGAUAUUUUGUUGAAAAAUUCCCCAUAUGAGAUAAUUUUUGCUUUUAGACUUGAAUAAGUGAUUAUUACAUAGCUUGGUUGCCUGGAAAAAAACAUACAGUGCAAACAUAUUUAUGACUUACCAUACGUUUUCUCCUUGGAUAGGAAUAUGCUUGUGUAGCCUAGCUAAGAAAAAAAAAAAAAAACAAUAGAACUUACACGUAUCAAACUUUUCUUAUGUUCAGGAACUCUAUGAUACCAGUAUGCCUGGUUUUGAAAAAUGAGUGCACUGAAUGCCAUAAUUUCCACAAAAGUCUCCCCCAAAUCCUUAAAAACAUCUCAAUACCCAAUCAGCUUCCUGUUUCCUUUUUAUGGUAGACUAAUCCUAAAUUUAGUGUGAAAAAGAUGAAUGUUACUGAUGAGAGCCUGCUUCUUGUUUGCUUGACAGCAACUAACAAAGGAAUGGCUAUUUUAAUAAACACUAUGG